UACGGACUUAAAAUCCGUCGACUUAAAAAAGUCGUGAGGGUUCAAGUCC
rnacentral:tRNA from 1 species